CCUACGGGAUGCUGCAGUAGGGAAUCUUUCACAAUGGGCGAAAGCCUGAUGGAGCAACGCCGCGUGCAGGAUGAAGGCCUUCGGGUUGUAAACUGCUUUUAUAAGCGAGAAAUAUGAUGGUAACUUAUGAAUAAGGAUCGGCUAACUACGGGCCAGCAGCCGCGGUCAUACGUAGGAUCCGAGCAUUAUCCGGAGUGACUGGGAGUAAAGAGUUGCGUAGGUGGCAUAAUAAGUAGCUAGUGAAAUCUGGUGGCUCAACCAUUCAGACUAUUAGCUAAACUGUUAAGCUCGAGACCGUUAGGGGUAACUGGAAUUUCUAGUGUAGGAGUGAAAUCCGUAGAUAUUAGAAGGAACACCAAUAGCGUAGGCAGGUUGCUGGGACGGUUCUGACACUAAGGCACGAAAGCGUAGGGAGCAAACGGGAUUAGAUACCCUUGUAGUC
rnacentral:rRNA from 1 species